rnacentral:lncRNA from 1 species
AGAGGCUGUCGGACUCUGACUGCGCGGAGACCGCUGGACUCUGGUCGCGGCCUUAGUCCGCUGAUCCUCGCUUGGGUGCCCGCCCUUAGCGGCCCGGCGUUGAAUUCCGGGAAGUGGGAGCUUCAGGCUCGCUCCGUGCGGAUCAUGUUCCUGAGAGAAACCCUCCUUUCCACAACAAACCUCCUACAUGCGCACCUCAGAAUCUCAGUCUAUUUCCUGGGAUCCCAACUUGCAGCUGCUUACAAAUAUGUGUGUGUGGAAAUGGAAGGAGAAAAAAGAAGAAGUUUGAAUGAGUUGAUUAAUUUUGCCUAUCACAUGUGGCAUAAUCAUGGGAGAAAGGCCAGGAAAACAAGGCUUGGAUAUUAAAUUCAUUUUCUUAUAUAAUA